GACGUAGGGCGCGAGCGUUGUCCGGAUUUAUUGGGCGUAAAGAGCUCGUAGGCGGCUUGUCGCGUCGUCUGUGAAAUCCCGCGGCUCAACCGCGGGUCUGCAGUCGAUACGGGCAGGCUAGAGUUCGGUAGGGGAGACUGGAAUUCCUGGUGUGGCGGUGAAAUGCGCAGAUAUCAGGAGGAACACCGGUGGCGAAGGCGGGUCUCUGGGCCGAUACUGACGCUGAGGAGCGAAAGCGUGGGGAGCGAACAGG
rnacentral:rRNA from 1 species